rnacentral:rRNA from 1 species
AUUGAACGCUGGCGGCAUGCCUUACACAUGCAAGUCGAACGGCAGCACGGGAGCAAUCCUGGUGGCGAGUGGCGAACGGGUGAGUAAUAUAUCGGAACGUGCCCAGUCGUGGGGGAUAACGUAGCGAAAGCUACGCUAAUACCGCAUACGAUCUAUGGAUAAAAGCGGGGGAUCGCAAGACCUCGCGCGAUUGGAGCGGCCGAUAUCAGGUUAGGUAGUUGGUGAGGUAAAGGCUCACCAAGCCGACGAACUGUAGCUGGUCUGAGAGGACGACCAGCCACACUGGAACUGAGACACGGUCCAGACUCCUACGGGAGGCAGCAGUGGGGAAUUUUGGACAAUGGGCGCAAGCCUGAUCCAGCAAUGCCGCGUGCAGGAUGAAGGCCUUCGGGUUGUAAACUGCUUUUGUACGGAACGAAACGGUGAGCUCUAAUACAGUUUGCUAAUGACGGUACCGUAAGAAUAAGCACCGGCUAACUACGUGCCAGCAGCCGCCGUAA